rnacentral:tmRNA from 1 species
UAAGAGACUAAGUGUUUUGUGGCUGUUUCUGGCCUAGCAAAACAUCGAAAAAUCAAUCAGAAAAUAAGCCUGUAGAAAGCUCUUUAGUUGCUUGUUUGGACCCGGGUUCGAUUCCCGGCGACUCCACAA